GCGUGCCUAAUACAUGCAAGUCGAACGCUUCUUUUCCCACCGGAGCUUGCUCCACCGGGAAAAGAGGAGUGGCGAACGGGUGAGUAACACGUGGGUAACCUGCCCAUCAGAAGGGGAUAACACUUGGAAACAGGUGCUAAUACCGUAUAACAAUCGAAACCGCAUGGUUUCGUUUUGAAAGGCGCUUUACGGUGCCGCUGAUGGAUGGACCCGCGGUGCAUUAGCUAGUUGGUGAGGUAACGGCUCACCAAGGCCACGAUGCAUAGCCGACCUGAGAGGGUGAUCGGCCACAUUGGGACUGAGACACGGCCCAAACUCCUACGGGAGGCAGCAGUAGGGAAUCUUCGGCAAUGGACGAAAGUCUGACCGAGCAACGCCGCGUGAGUGAAGAAGGUUUUCGGAUCGUAAAACUCUGUUGUUAGAGAAGAACAAGGGUGAGAGUAACUGUUCACCCCUUGACGGUAUCUAACCAGAAAGCCACGGCUAACUACGUGCCAGCAGCCGCGGUAAUACGUAGGUGGCAAGCGUUGUCCGGAUUUAUUGGGCGUAAAGCGAGCGCAGGCGGUUUCUUAAGUCUGAUGUGAAAGCCCCCGGCUCAACCGGGGAGGGUCAUUGGAAACUGGGAGACUUGAGUGCAGAAGAGGAGAGUGGAAUUCCAUGUGUAGCGGUGAAAUGCGUAGAUAUAUGGAGGAACACCAGUGGCGAAGGCGGCUCUCUGGUCUGUAACUGACGCUGAGGCUCGAAAGCGUGGGGAGCAAACAGGAUUAGAUACCCUGGUAGUCCACGCCGUAAACGAUGAGUGCUAAGUGUUGGAGGGUUUCCGCCCUUCAGUGCUGCAGCUAACGCAUUAAGCACUCCGCCUGGGGAGUACGACCGCAAGGUUGAAACUCAAAGGAAUUGACGGGGGCCCGCACAAGCGGUGGAGCAUGUGGUUUAAUUCGAAGCAACGCGAAGAACCUUACCAGGUCUUGACAUCCUUUGACCACUCUAGAGAUAGAGCUUCCCCUUCGGGGGCAAAGUGACAGGUGGUGCAUGGUUGUCGUCAGCUCGUGUCGUGAGAUGUUGGGUUAAGUCCCGCAACGAGCGCAACCCUUAUUGUUAGUUGCCAUCAUUUAGUUGGGCACUCUAGCAAGACUGCCGGUGACAAACCGGAGGAAGGUGGGGAUGACGUCAAAUCAUCAUGCCCCUUAUGACCUGGGCUACACACGUGCUACAAUGGGAAGUACAACGAGUCGCGAAGUCGCGAGGCUAAGCUAAUCUCUUAAAGCUUCUCUCAGUUCGGAUUGUAGGCUGCAACUCGCCUACAUGAAGCCGGAAUCGCUAGUAAUCGCGGAUCAGCACGCCGCGGUGAAUACGUUCCCGGGCCUUGUACACACCGCCCGUCACACCACGAGAGUUUGUAACACCCGAAGUCGGUGAGGUAACCUUUUUGGAGCCAGCCGCCUAAGGU
rnacentral:rRNA from 1 species